rnacentral:rRNA from 1 species
GGUGGUGACAAUAGCGGAGGGGAAACACCCGUUCCCAUCCCGAACACGGAAGUUAAGCCCUCCAGCCCUGACGAUACUUUGCGGGCAACUGCAUGGGAAAAUAAGACGUUGCCACUC